AUUGAACGCUGGCGGCAGGCCUAACACAUGCAAGUCGAACGAGUGGCGGACGGGUGAGUAAUGUCUGGGAAACUGCCUGAUGGAGGGGGAUAACUACUGGAAACGGUAGCUAAUACCGCAUAACAUCCGAUGUGCCCAGAUUGGAUUAGCUAGUUGGUGGGGUAACGGCUUACCAAGGCGACGAUCCCUAGCUGGUCUGAGAGGAGGACCAGCCACACGGGAACUGAGACACGGUCCAGACUCCUACGGGAGGCAGCAGUGGGGAAUAUUGGACAAUGGGAGAAAGCCUGAUGCAGCAAUGCCGCGUGUGUGAAGAAGGUUUUCGGGUUGUAAAGUACUUUCAGCGGGGAGGCGUUAUCCGCAGAAGAAGCACCGGCUAACUCCGUGCCAGCAGCCGCGGUAAUAC
rnacentral:rRNA from 1 species